UCUUGGUCAUUUAGAGGAAGUAAAAGUCGUAACAAGGUCUCCGUUGGUGAACCAGCGGAGGGAUCAUUACCGAGUUUACAACUCCCAAACCCAAUGUGAACCAUACCAAACUGUUGCCUCGGCGGGGUCACGCCCCGGGUGCGUCGCAGCCCCGGAACCAGGCGCCCGCCGGAGGGACCAACCAAACUCUUUCUGUAGUCCCCUCGCGGACGUUAUUUCUUACAGCUCUGAGCAAAAAUUCAAAAUGAAUCAAAACUUUCAACAACGNAUCUCUUGGUUCUGGCAUCGAUGAAGAACGCAGCGAAAUGCGAUAAGUAAUGUGAAUUGCAGAAUUCAGUGAAUCAUCGAAUCUUUGAACGCACAUUGCGCCCGCCAGUAUUCUGGCGGGCAUGCCUGUCCGAGCGUCAUUUCAACCCUCNAACCCCUCCGGGGGUCCGGCGUUGGGGAUCGGGAACCCCUAAGACGGGAUCCCGGCCCCGAAAUACAGUGGCGGUCUCGCCGCAGCCUCUCCUGCGCAGUAGUUUGCACAACUCGCACCGGGAGCGCGGCGCGUCCACNUCCGUAAAACACCCAACUUCUGAAAUGUUGACCUCGGAUCAGGUAGGAAUACCCGCUGAACUUNNGCAUAUCAAUAAGCGGAGGAA
rnacentral:rRNA from 1 species